rnacentral:lncRNA from 1 species
GAGACAAUUUUACAGGUAAUUUUCAAGAUAGAGGUAAUAGUGAGCUUAAAGACCUUCAGUUGUUAAUUUAUAUAUGCCUCUUCUAAGGUUGAGAAACUGAUAUCACACAGGAUUGCUUAUUAAUUUGUGAGUGAUUUGAUAGCUACUUCAGAGUGGAUAAUCCCACUCCAACAGUCCUGAGACAGCACCCCUACUGUUUAUACUCAAGUGAUCUUUCUUGCUCCAGCAACUGAGUAAAAAUGUACUAACAGCAAAUUACAAUUCUGGCUUUUCUUUCUUCUCUUUGCAGACAGAGCUUUUUGAUGAAGGUCUAGUCCAAUGGGAGAUAGAAGAAAGAUCUGCUCCCUUCUACCCUCUUCUAUGCUGCUUACUCAAACAGAGGGAAAGUCACCACCAGUCUGCAUUGCCUGAUAUUAGAGCGUGCUCUUACAUGAGAAAUACAAUUUCUCACAGCAAGGCAAAAUCAAAAGAUGAGACAGAAGAGCUCCCCAUGGCUGAAUCAGCUGUGGAUGGAUGUUGGAGAGGAAUGGGCACUACAGCUCUCUCAGGGCAAGCUUGGGUACACACUCUGGGACCGCUUGACUCAGAAAGAGGACUCUAGUAUCCUGCUAGCACAAGACUGCCAGGAAAGCUACAAUGGAGGGACCUACCAGAUGAUGAAAAGUCAUCGGUCUUUCUGAAGUCUGCUGAGCAGAUAUGGGUAAUGCAUGUUUUUUUUUUUUUCAUCUGAAAUAUGCCAUGUUUAGGUAGAACUCCCUUUCUCUGAGGGGUGGUUUGGUGAAUCAAGCAAAUCCAUUGUGUUUGUGCCAAGUCAUUGAAGG